GCUCCUGAGCUCAAGCUAUCCACUUGCCUCAGCCUCCCAAAUUGCUGAGAUUAGAAGAAUGAGCCACUGUGCCUGUGACUUACUUCUAACCCACAGAAUAGAGCAACAGUGAGAGGAUGUCAAUUCUGUGAUAGAUUGCAAAAUAUUGUAAGUUCCUAGCAGUCUUUCUCAUUGGUUUCAAUAAAAAAAAGCUGCUGUGCUGGAGGGACCCAUGAGGCAAAGAACUGAGAGCAGCCUUUAGCUAACAGCCGGCAAGGAAUGAGGUGCUUGGUCCAGCAAUCACAGAGAAACUGAAUCCUGCUGAUGAUCAUGAGGGUGAGCUUGGAAGCAGAUUCUGUCCCAGAUGAACUUUGAUUGUGUCUUGUUAGAAACCCUGGACCAACUCCUUGAUUGCACCUGUGAGAGGCCCUGAAGCGGAGGGCCCAGCUAAGGUGUGUCUGGAUUUCUGACCCACAGAAACUGAGAUCAUAAAUGUGUGGUUUUAAGCCCGUAAGUUUUGGAAUACAGUAGAUCUUCAUUAUUCACAGAUUUUGCACUUGCAAAUUUGCUUACUCGCUAAAAUUUAUUUGUAUCCCUAAAAUCAGUACUCCAGCACUUUCACAGUCAUUUACGGCAUCUGCAGAGCAGUGAAAAAUUUGAAUUGCCUGAGAUACAUGCUCCCUGCUGAAGUCGCACAAGCUGGCCAAUCCUGCUAAUCCUUUAAAACUCACCUGGAGGGAAGGCCUCCUUCUGCAAAGCCUCUCUUGAUGCAGAUUAUCAGCUUUCACUCUCUACCAGAUGGCAAGGAUAUUGCUGUUGGCUCAUAGGAUGUGAACAGUGGUGUUGAGAUUACCCUCAUUUGGCUGAUGAUGUCAUUGAGGCCCAGAGAAGGUAAGUAAUGUACCAAGGUUACAGACUAGUAAGUGACAGAGAUGGGUUUUGAGCCCCAUUCUUCUACAUUGUGUGCAAUAGCUCAUAUCAAGGUCACUAAAGCUGAAGACUGAAUUAUUUAUUCAAAUACUGCCAUCAUGCACCAAUAUUCUCAACAGGUAGGACACCUGGCAGGGCCUGGCUUUGGGGCUAACUUCUGCAGCUCUUUUGAUUGCCCCCACCUUACAGUUUUUGGCACAGAGCACUGUGUAGCUGGCACUUCUCUACUGGCCCGAAUGAGAAAACUUCCUCAGAGCAAAAUGUCAAGCACCAAAUAAGAUUCAUGUUUACUGUGAAGUGAUUGCUGCUUUUUAAAUGCUUAUCAGAAGCCGAAGGACAAACUCAGUAGGUUGAUUCAUGCUGAGCUCGACUACCUCCGUGAGAAAUGACUCUCCUGUAGGGCUCGAUGACCUUCAUGUCAAUGCGCUGCUCUUGUUCUCCAAUGACCACUGUCCUCCAAAGCCGGUUGUCCUCCCGUUCCUCUUCGGCCGUAUAUUCUGGAAUAGACUCUGACUCUUGGCCAGAAUCUUUGUUGGCUGUGGGAUCUUCUGGAAACAAAGCACAGAGCAAGGCUGAAGGAGCAAGACCUCCACAGUGCAGCUAAACAGCCAAAUGAGUCUCCCGCAAGUCAGGAAAACUGGAUAAAAAGAGGCCUAAAUGUGAGCAAGAGCUAUCAUGUUUGGCUUCAAGUCCUGACAACUCUGUAUAUGAUCUUCAGUGCCCUUUACCUGGCCGAAGUAUCCUCCCAGUGUCUACUAUGUGCCGAGGAUAUAGAGGAACAAAACAGACCCGUCUCAUUCUCGUGGUGGAGUUGGGAUGAUGGAGCUAAUACAAUGACCCCUACCUUCAAAAACUCAGUGCUGCUCCCCUGGAUAGAGUGAGGCUUAAACAUGAAAAUUUGAGGAACGCUGAGCAGGAAUAGAAGGAAAGCCUACAUUUUUAUCAUUUCAACCUCUUUGCUUUUCAGAGAAUAAUUAACUCCUUGGCUGUGAAUGAUGGAUGCAUGGAGAAUUCUACCUCUUGCCUGCAGGCUAUUUGCUAGCUUCUUUUAAUAUUUUUCCUAUAACCUUAAGAUCUAUGAAUAGAUUUGUUUGUUGUGGAGAAGAUUAAAUUAGAUGGCAUAAUCUCACAUUGGAGAGGGGCAUAUACUUAUUUAGGAAGUGAGUUUACAGUUCACAACCAGGAUGGCUCAAAGGGAUCUCAAACUGAACAUGUUCAAAACCUAAUCCCACAUCUUCCUCUACGCAGAUCCGCUACAUCCUACCUUCUCUGUGACGACUUUGAAAAGUGUCCAUGAAUUCUUUGACACUCUUUUCAAAAGGUGGAGCCUAAUUUCCCGUCCCUUAAGUGUGGACUGAUGAUUUGCUUCUAAAGAACAGAAUAAGGUGGAAUGGAUGGUAGGUGACUUCUAAGGCUAGGUCCUAAAAAGCACUGUGUGCUUUGUUCUCUCUUGGGUCUCUCAGUCUGGGAGAAACCAGCUACCCUGUUGUAAGGACAGUCAAGCAGCCCUGUGGAGAGUCCAUGUGGCAAGGAACUGAGGCUUCCUGUGAAAAUCCAGGAAGGAACUGAAGCCUUCUGCCAACAGCCAUGUGAACGAGCCAUCUUGGAGGCAGAUCCUGCAGCCUGGCUAAUGUCUUGAUGGCAACUUAACAAGAUACCUUAAGCCAGAACCAUCUAGCUAAUACACUCUUGAAUUCCUAUUACAAACACUGGGAAAUAAUCAAUGUUUGUUGUUUUAAGCUGCUAAACUUUGAUAUUAUUUAUUUUAUUCAUUUAUUUUUUG
rnacentral:lncRNA from 1 species